rnacentral:rRNA from 1 species
AACGAACGCUGGCGGCGUGGAUUAGGCAUGCAAGUCGAACGAGAAUCUGGAGGUUCAAGUUUUCGGACAAGAACUUUCGGAGGAAAGUGGCGGAAGGGUGAGUACAACAUGGAUAAUCUACCUUCAAGUUGGGUAUAGCUUCCCGAAAGGGGAGAUAAUCCCGAAUGUGGUGAUCCGGCGCCUGUCGGAGAAUCCAAAGGUGGGGACCGCAAGGCCUGCCGCUUGAAGAUGAGUCCGUGCACUAUCAGCUAGUUGGUGAGGUAAUGGCUCACCAAGGCGAUGACGGUUAGCUGGUCUGAGAGGAUGGUCAGCCACACUGGGACUGAGAUACUGCCCAGACUCCUACGGGAGGCUGCAGUCGAGAAUCAUUCGCAAUGGGCGCAAGCCUGACGGUGCGACGUCGCGUGGAGGAUGAAGGUCUUCGGAUUGUAAACUCCUGUCAUGUGGGAUAAAUGGCCAGGGCAUGAAUAGUGCCUUGGAA